AACGAACGCUGGCGGCAUGCCUAACACAUGCAAGUCGAACGAGACCUUCGGGUCUAGUGGCGCACGGGUGCGUAACGCGUGGGAACCUGCCCUUAGGUUCGGAAUAACUCCCCGAAUAGGGUGCUAAUACCGGCUAAUGUCUUCGGACCAAAGAUUUAUCGCCUUUGGAUGGGCCCGCGUUGGAUUAGCUAGUUGGUAGGGUAAAAGCCUACCAAGGCGACGAUCCAUAGCUGGUCUGUGAGGAUGAGCAGCCACACUGGGACUGAGACACGGCCCAGACUCCUACGCGAGGCAGCAAUGGGGAAUAUUGGACAAUGGGGGGAAGCCUGAUGCAGCAAUGACGCGUGAGUGAUGAAGGCCUUAGGGUUGUAAAGCUCUUUUACCCGGGAUGAUAAUGACAGUACCGGGAGAAUAAGCUCCGGCUAACUCCGUG
rnacentral:rRNA from 1 species